rnacentral:lncRNA from 1 species
UAUCAUGUGUUAUGGGCAUGCCGGACUACUCAGAGAUUGCCCACAGGGGAGACCCCCUUUGCCUUAGCUUUCAGGUAAGAAGCCGUGAUCCUAAUAGAACUCAAGCUUCUGUCAGCAUGAGUAAUGGCGUUCGACGAACAGCGCAACCCACAGGACCUCAAGGCCAACCUCGACUUGUUAGAAGAAAAGCGGGAGGCGGC